AUACCUUUCUCGGCCUUUUGGCUAAGAUUAAGUGUAGUAUCUGUUCUUAUCAGUUUAAUAUCUGAUACGUGGGCCAUUGGUCUAUAUGGUAUUAAAUUAAUUUUUUAAGGGGAUGGUCCAUCGCAGUAGCUUGCUACUGGGGUUCUUUAGCGUCGCCCAUGCGUUGCACUACUGCAUGGGCCGGGCGUACCCCAU
rnacentral:snRNA from 1 species